rnacentral:rRNA from 1 species
GUGUCAGCAGCCGCGGUAAUACAGAGGUCUCGAGCGUUGUUCGGAUUCAUUGGGCGUAAAGGGUGCGUAGGCGGCGAGGUAAGUCGGAUGUGAAAUCCCGGGGCUCAACCCCGGAACUGCAUUCGAUACUGCCCCGCUUGAGGACUGGAGAGGAGACUGGAAUUCACGGUGUAGCAGUGAUAUGCGUAGAUAUCGUGAGGAAGACCGGUGGCGAAGGCGGGUCUCUGGACAGUUCCUGACGCUGAGGCACGAAGGCCAGGGGAGCAAACGGGAUUAGAUACCCCGGUAGUCCUGGCAGUAAACGGUGUACAUUUGGUGUGGGAGGAUUCGACCCCUUCCGUGCCGGAGCUAACGCGUUAAAUGUACCGCCUGGGGAGUACGGUCGCAAGAUUAAA